CUGCUGCCUUCCGUAGGAGUUUGGGCCGUGUCUCAGUCCCAAUGUGGCCGGUCGCCCUCUCAGGCCGGCUACUGAUCGUCGCCUUGGUGAGCCGUUACCCCACCAACUAGCUAAUCAGACGCGGGUCCAUCCUAUACCACCUCAGUUUUUCACACUGAACCAUGCGGUCCUGUGCGCUUAUGCGGUAUUAGCAGUCAUUUCUAACUGUUAUCCCCCUGUAUAGGGCAGGUUACCCACGCGUUACUCACCCGUCCG
rnacentral:rRNA from 1 species